GGAGGGUGCAAGCGUUAUCCGGAUUCACUGGGUUUAAAGGGGUGCAUAGGCCGGGGAAUGUAAGUCAGUGGUGAAAUCUCGGAGCUUAACUCCGAAACUGCCAUUGAUACUAUGUUUCUUGAAUAUUGUGGAGGUGAGCGGAAUAUGUCAUGUAGCGGUGAAAUGCUUAGAUAUGACAUAGAACACCGAUUGCGAAGGCAGCUCGCUACACAUAUAUUGACGCUGAGGCACGAAAGCGUGGGGGAUCAAACAGGAUUAGAUACCCUGGUAGUCCACGCCCUAAACUAUGAUUACUCGACGUGUGCGAUACACAGUACGCGUCUGAGCGAAAGCAUUAAGUAAUCCACCUGGGAAGUACGACCGCAAGGUUG
rnacentral:rRNA from 1 species